rnacentral:SRP_RNA from 1 species
CGUUGGGUCUUUGGCAAUGUGCGGCUCCGAACCCCGCCAGGUCCGGAAGGAAGCAACGGUAGGAGCUUAGCCCAUGUGUUCGAAGGUGCCCAACGGCU